rnacentral:rRNA from 1 species
CCUACGGGGGGCAGCAGUAGGGAAUAUUGCGCAAUGGGCGAAAGCCUGACGCAGCCAUGCCGCGUGGAUGAUGAAGGCCUUCGGGUCGUAAAGUCCUUUUCUGAGGGAAGAACUGCCGGGGGAGGAAAUGCCCUUGGCUUGACGGUACCUCAGGAAUAAGCAACGGCUAACUCCGUGCCAGCAGCCGCGGUAAUACGGAGGUUGCAAGCGUUGUUCGGAAUGACUGGGCGUAAAGGGAGCGCAGGCGGCCAAGUCAGUCUGAAGUGAAAGCCCGGGGCUUAACCCCGGAAUAGCUUUGGAUACUGCCUGGCUUGAGUGUGCGAUAGGAAAGCGGAAUUCCAGGUGUAGCGGUGAAAUGCGUAGAUAUCUGGAGGAACACCGGUGGCGAAAGCGGCUUUCUGGCGCAUAACUGACGCUGAGGCUCGAAAGCGUGGGGAGCGAACGGGCUUAGAUACCCGGGUAGUC